rnacentral:rRNA from 1 species
GAUGAACGCUGGCGGCGUGCCUAAUACAUGCAAGUCGAGCGAAUGGAUUAAGAGCUUGCUCUUAUGAAGUUAGCGGCGGACGGGUGAGUAGCACGUGGGUAACCUGCCCAUAAGACUGGGAUAACUCCGGGAAACCGGGGCUAAUACCGGAUAACAUUUUGAACCGCAUGGUUCGAAAUUGAAAGGCGGCUUCGGCUGUCACUUAUGGAUGGACCCGCGUCGCAUUAGCUAGUUGGUGAGGUAACGGCUCACCAAGGCAACGAUGCGUAGCCGAACUGGAAGGGUGAUCGGCCACACUGGGACUGAGACACGGCCCAGACUCCUACGGGAGGCAGCAGUAGGGAAUCUUCCGCAAUGGACGAAAGUCUGACGGAGCAACGCCGCGUGAGUGAUGAAGGCUUUCGGGUCGUAAAACUCUGUUGUUAGGGAAGAACAAGUGCUAGUUGAAUAAGCUGGCACCUUGACGGUACCUAACCAGAAAGCCACGGCUAACUACGUGCCAGCAGCCGCCGUAA